ACCGCUGCCAUCGACCACCUCGUCUCCCUUCUCUAACCCCAUCACCGCCGGCCCUCCCCAUCGCCUCCGACCCUCCCCCUCGUCUCAUCCCACCUCCUAGCUCUGGAGGUUUUCUGAUCCGCCACACCCCGCACCCACGCAUCCCUCUCGCGUCCCAUCUCUCGCUCUUCACGCUGCUCCUCCUUGCGUCACCUACGGCGGCUGAGUCUGGCGACAUCUAGCGGAUCCCACGACCGCGAGGGACAUCCCAACGUCGCCUCGCACCGCGACGCUUUCCAUCCAGCUAGAUCCGGCGCUCGCAGCCACACAAACCCACCCCGCCACCCUCCCCCCUAGCUAGGGUUUCGGGCGUAGGCUCCGGCGCCGGUGGCCAUGUGUUCUUCCCCUCGUCCGAGAUGCAAGGAGGAAUCGCUGGUGGAUAGCCAUGUUGCUACUCGGGAAAAGCAGCAAUGGAGCCUGCUCCUCCCUAUCCUCCUUUGGCUUCUGCAGAAUAGGAAGUCCAGCGACGACAGUUUAAAUCAGAUGGGGAGCAACGAGGCUACCACGCAGCUGUAUGGCGACCUCGCAGGGAGAUGACUAAACACACUCAACUCCAUUCCAGAUCUCGGUCGUUACUCCUGCCCCCACUAUGGAGAGUCAGCCUUUAUCACCAGAUUCCAUAUUUUAUUUCUGUAGCUAGCUAGAGCAUUGAGUUGUUUGUGAAAGCCAAAUUAAUUUUCUUGAUAUAAAUUAGCUGAUGAAGAAAUUUAUUAGUUAUAUGUGUUUCUAUGAGCACCGUUGUUCACCCCAUUAUACUCCGUAUGGAGUGGAGAAGAGUCAUGAGGGGUGGUCUUCAUGGCCUCUAGUGGUAAUGCGGAAUUCUGCUUUCGGGCUGUAUUAGCUAUGUCAAUAACUGAAACACGAGCCACCUAGUUAACUAUGAUAUUAAUAGCUCAAUUUGCAUCUGAAUUUCCAUGUCAGUCCAUGCUAGACAAAGUAAUUAAUUAGUUGAUUUUCGGACAUACAUGCUUUCAUAAAUUUGUGUCAUUUCUUAUCUAUACCCACCAGAACUGCAGUUAACUUCCUGGUAUAUUUUAUUUAUCUUCUGAGUUUCAGCAUUAAGAUAAGAAGCUAUGAUACUGAGAGAUUACAUAGUUUUCUAUAAUGUGAUGCUUAGCAUAUCAGCUUCCCUGCUUUUACUAGGUAGCGAGACUACAAUCCCACUGCCGAUGCAAAAGUUAUGCUAAUAGCAAGGAGUAAAUGAUUUGUACAGGUUCAUGUUUACGUCAUAGGUUGGUAACGAGGUUUCAAUAUAAAAUGGAACAUUCUUGUGGAACGUUCCUACAAUCAUUAUUAUGGGAGCAAUAUUCUAAACAUGUGUUACUAACAACAUAUAUAUCAUUCCUCUCAGUUUCAUUAUCUGGAUUACAGAGCAGCCCCUUAUGGAGAACAUAAUAAGGUAAUUAAGCUACUUUCCACAAUAUCCUCAGUAAUGGUGUGUGGUUCCGAAGCAGUCCUUUAUUUUGUUCCAAAAUUACUGUUUUUUCCACCCUUUUCAUGUUCUGAACAAUAAAAGAUGCAUGCACAAGGCUCUCUAAAUUAUGUUAGAUGUAUGUCUGAUGCAAAUUGUACACACUCCAAUUAAAGAAUUUUUGUGAUUAGUCAUGGUGAGUGCAUAUAUACCGUGUUGUGUGAAAAGUCUGUAGCUUCAUAAAAACUGUAUGCAUGUCUCUCCGUCGUUUCUUAACGUUUUCAUAUUUAGGUCCUUCUGGCUCUCUAUACAUACUACAUAAGUAGUGAUUUUGUGUGGAUUAAUUUAUUUUUACGCAAACACGAAUUACUAUGUGAACCAAGAUGAAGUGUUGAAAAACUUAAUUAGCCCCUUUACCACAAGUGCUGUGUAACUAAUAUUUAAAUUAUGUUUACAAGCACAAACUGAAUGUAUAUUUGUACAAUAUUAUAUUUUACUCAUAUGCUUCGAUGAGGAUCUCAUGUGGAAGUGGGAGAAGGGACACCACCAAUCUGUGCCAGUUUGUGUUGCUCCAACCGUUUCACUACAUACCAUAAAAAUGCUUAUCUUUGUUCCAUUUGACAUGUUCAACAUUGGAAAACAUGUAUACUUAUGCAACGAUCUCUGCCAUACACUAAGACACCCAUAUUAGGCUCAUAUAUUUGAAGUACGUAACAUGAACCCCUCAAAGAAAUGGUAAACUAAUUCAUAUGGGUCCAUAAUCACCUUGAGGUAAGUUAUGAAUGUAUUUCUAUCUACUAUGUAUGCCAGUAAUUUGUUAUGUAUAACAAAGAUUACAUGGCCUUCUGCAUUUGCACGUGACUAAUAACCCGCCUCUAUCAUUACUUGCAUCAUGUCAAUUCAUUGUCUGUUAACAGUUCAUUUCGGUAUUUUUUUUGUAUAUUCAAAAUAUAUAUGGAUGAUUAUAUGGGUGUUGUGGCAAGUAUACCGCAAUGAUGACGAUGAUGUUCCGGUUCAUGAUGAUGAUGAUGAUAAUGAUGAUGGUGGUGGUGGUGGAUGCUUUCAGUUUUAGUUAAGUUGUAGGGAUGUUGUUCCUGUUGGAUGAUGUUACUCGAUUAAAUUUUCGUUAAGUUGUAGGGAUGUAAAGAAAACAUUUAGAUUAUGCAUCUCAUUGGGAUGAUGUUCCUUCAGUAAUAUCCACUAUUGUAAUCCAACAGUUUUAUCCAAUAUAUGAUUUCUUCCUCUUGUGAA